CAAAGAGCUGUGGUGUCACUCACAACAGAGUCCUGGAGAAAGCUGAGCAUCACUCCAGAGGAAGAGUCGUCAUCAGCAGCACCAGCACCAGCACCAGCACCAGCACCAUGACACUUGGACACAGGAGUAGCCUGAGGCAAGCAGCUGUAGGAUUCGCACUGGGAGCAGUGGGAGGCUGCAUACUGGGAGCCACAGAGGAGCCAGUGGACAUGACUAAUAAAGCGAUGACUGCACCUAUUCUGCUGAAACCACUGGUAGAUGAAAUCACUAGUGUGGGUCCGUUGGGGCUGGGGACCCUGAUGGGAGCCACAGCUCUGACUACAGCCACGACGUCCAUCAUGGCGGGCGUGAUUCUUGCUGCAGUUGUAGCUGCAGUGUUUGUCGCCACGAGGAGCUGCAGCCUUAACCCUAAACAGUCUAUUGGGUUAUGGGCGAGUGCAGGACUUGCUGGUACCUGUGGAACCACACUCAGUGGAGCCACAUUUGGGACUGUAAUACAAUGGAUUGUCAGUAAUUACAACAUGGUGGGUCUUCUGUGUGCUCUGAGCAUUUUUACUCUGCUCAAACCACCCAUGCAGUUUGUCUUCCAGCGCCUCUGGAAGCAGGGAGAGUCUCUGUGCACAGUGAGUUCACACAACCUUGCCAAGGAGAGGGAGGAGCUAGAGGUCCUGGGGUACCAGCAGAGACAGAAGGAGCAUGUAGAUGUAGAGAAGAGAAUUCUGACUUUGGAGAACGGAGGCAAGAACCAGCCUGAUGACAGGGAAAUGUGGAGCACCAGGCAAAAGCAGAGAGAGGCGAUAGAGAGGAGGAAGAUGGAGAAUGAAGAGGCAGAGACUGAGCAAAGAAGCAUCCAUGACUGGAUUAGUACUGUACUGGUCAAACAGGUGGACUUCCUGGCUUUCUCAGGAAUUCCCAUGGCAGUCACAGCCUUGGUGACCACCUGCUUUGGGUUGCUGGGUUAUGGAGCCCACCAGUCGGUGCUAAUUGUGCUGCUGGUGUUGGUGGCAGUAAUGGGAUAUUUUCUUCUCAAGUCUUCAGACUUUACAUACUGGAUGCUAAUUGGAUGCAUGGGAAUGAUGGCAACAUUUGUGGUGGCUAUGCUAACCCUGAAUGCUGGACAGGAGGCCCUGGCGUUAGCCACAAAGAUGAAAGCUGCUGGACAAAUUAACUCCCACCGAACCAUCGAGGCUCGUGUUAAAUAUUACUCUUGUCUGGAAGCUUUAAGUGCUUCCUUCUUUGCAACUAAACUCUGUCAGCUAGGUCUGGGGGCCUCUGUGGGAGGGGCACUGGUGAGGAGAAAUGCUGGGGAGGUGAAAGUCAUUGUGGGUGCAGCGUUUGUGACGGGAUGUUUGUUAGCUGGGGUGAAUGUCUUAUCGCUGGUGGUUGGGGCUGGAGGAAGGGCCGGGGCACUGCUGGGGGUGGUGGCUGCAGCAGGGGUGUCUGUGGGGGGGGGCGGCAGCAGCAGCAAAGAGGUUCUCCUCCUGGGCAGGGUCUGUAGGGACAUUCACAGGGCUGCUUGUUGGAGUUUUGGCAAUGGGAAAAUGGCAUAUUGUAAACGUGGGACUGCAGCUUCCAGUGGCCUUUGUCUUUGCAAUGAUUAACCCCGUCUAACCCAGAUUAAACCUGUUUGUGACCCCUUAACCUUACUGUCUGAUCACACGUGCCCUCAUAUCACAUAAUAUUAUAAAGUUGUUGCUUUAGACUCAGAAACAGAAGCAACCAGAAGUUUAAGCCCAUCAUCAGUGAUUUCAUUUUAUCAUGGCUUCUUUGGAAAACAUUGGACUUUAACAAACAAACAAACAAACAAACAAACAAACAAACAAACAAACAAACAAACAAACAAACAAACAAACAAACAAACAAAAUAAAAAAGGGGUUGAUAAAGGUUGAUCA
ensembl:lncRNA uncharacterized LOC114477406